CCUACGGGAGGCAGCAGUAGGGAAUAUUGCACAAUGGGCGAAAGCCUGAUGCAGCAACGCCGCGUGCGCGAAGAAGGUCUUCGGAUCGUAAAGCGCUUUUCUGGGAGAUGAGAAAGGACAGUAUCCCAGGAAUAAGUCUCGGCUAACUACGUGCCAGCAGCCGCGGUAACACGUAGGAGGCGAGCGUUAUCCGGAUUCACUGGGCGUAAAGCGCGUGCAGGCGGUUCGGUAAGUUGGGCGUGAAAUCUCCCGGCUCAACUGGGAGAGGUCGUUCAAUACUACCGGACUUGAGAGCGAUAGAGGAAAAUGGAAUUCCCGGUGUAGUGGUGAAAUGCGUAGAUAUCGGGAGGAACACCAGUGGCGAAAGCGAUUUUCUGGAUCGUUUCUGACGCUCAGACGCGAAAGCUAGGGUAGCAAACGGGAUUAGAGACCCCGGUAGUCCUAGCCGUAAACGAUGUGAACUUGGCGUCGGUGGCUUAAACUCCAUCGGUGCCGAAGCCAACGCGAUAAGUUCACCGCCUGGGGACUACGACCGCAAGGUUAAAACUCAAAGGAAUUGACGG
rnacentral:rRNA from 1 species